UACGUAGGGUGCAAGCGUUAAUCGGAAUUACUGGGCGUAAAGCGUGCGCAGGCGGUGAUGUAAGACAGAUGUGAAAUCCCGGGCUCAACCUGGGAACUGCAUUUGUGACUGCAUCGCUGGAGUACGGCAGAGGGGAUGGAAUUCCGCGUGUAGCAGUGAAAUGCGUAGAUAUGCGGAGGAACACCGAUGGCGAAGGCAAUCCCUGGGCCUGUACUGACGCUCAUGCACGAAAGCGUGGGGAGCAAACAGG
rnacentral:rRNA from 1 species